rnacentral:rRNA from 1 species
UACGUAGGGGGCAAGCGUUGUCCGGAAUCAUUGGGCGUAAAGCGCGUGUAGGCGGUUCGGUAAGUCGGCUGUGAAAGUCCAGGGCUCAACCCUGGGAUGCCGGUCGAUACUGCCGGACUAGAGUUCGGAAGAGGCGAGUGGAAUUCCCGGUGUAGCGGUGAAAUGCGCAGAUAUCAGGAAGAACACCCGUGGCUAAGGCGGCUCUCUAGUACGGUACUGACGCUGAGACGCGAAAGCGUGGGGAGCGAACAGG